CCUACGGGGAGCAGCAGUGAGGCAUAUUGGUCCAUGGGCGCAAGCCUGAACCAGCCAAGUCGCGUGAGGGAAGACGGUCCUAUGAAUUGUAAACCUCUUUUGUCGGGGAGCAAAAGACGCCACGCGUGGCGUUCCGAGAGUACCCGAAGAAAAAGCAUCGGCUAACUCCGUGCCAGCCGCCGCGGUAAUACGGAAGGUCCGGGUGUUAUCCGGAUUUAUUGGGUUUAAAGGAAGCGUAGGCCGGCUGUUAAGUCAGCUGUAAAAGUCCGCGGCUCAACCGUGGAAUUGCAGGUGAUACUGGAGGCCUUGAGAGCACAUAGGGAUGCCGGAAUUAAUGGUGUAGCGGUGAAAUGCUUAGAGAUCAUGAAGAACUCCGAUCGCGAAGGCAAGUGUCCGGGGUGCAACUGACGCUGAGGCUCGAAAGUGCGGGUAUCAAACAGGAUUAGAUACCCCUGUAGUC
rnacentral:rRNA from 1 species